AAGACACUAGUAAAGCACUUACACUGCCCUGUCAAGGCAGAGUCGUGGGUUAAACCCCCGCGUGACUUA
rnacentral:tRNA from 1 species